CGAACGGGUGAGUAACACGUGGGUGAUCUGCCUCGCACUUCGGGAUAAGCCUGGGAAACUGGGUCUAAUACCGGAUAUGACCUUUCAGUGCAUGCUGUUUGGUGGAAAGAUUUAUCGGUGCGAGAUGGGCCCGCGGCCUAUCAGCUUGUUGGCGGGGUAACGGCCCACCAAGGCGACGACGGGUAGCCGACCUGAGAGGGUGACCGGCCACACUGGGACUGAGACACGGCCCAGACUCCUACGGGAGGCAGCAGUGGGGAAUAUUGCACAAUGGGCGAAAGCCUGAUGCAGCGACGCCGCGUGAGGGAUGACGGCCUUCGGGUUGUAAACCUCUUUCGACAGGGACGAAGCGCAAGUGACGGUACCUG
rnacentral:rRNA from 2 species